ACUGGUAACUGCACUGGUAAGGUAUGGAUCCCAAAUGUCGUGAAGUCUCUCUAUACCCUACUUCGACUCAAUACGUCCCCGGCGUUUAGAACGGUAACAUGUCUUGCCAAAUAUCUGAGCUUGAGUAUACGGGGAGAACCAACCCCUUGGGAGAAUGGGUGAUAAGGUUUAAUUGAGCGGA
rnacentral:ribozyme from 1 species